UACGGGGGGGGCAAGCGUUGUUCGGAAUUACUGGGCGUAAAGGGCUCGUAGGUGGCCAACUAAGUCAACCGUGAAAUCCCUCGGCUUAACCGGGGAACUGCAUCUGAUACUGGAUGGCUUGAGUUCGGGAGAGGGAUGUGGAAUUCCAGGUGUAGCGGUGAAAUGCGUAGAUAUCUGGAGGAACACCGGUGGCGAAGGCGGCAUCCUGGACCGACACUGACGCUGAUGAGCGAAAGCCAGGGGAGCAAACAGG
rnacentral:rRNA from 1 species